rnacentral:rRNA from 1 species
UACGAAGGGGGCUAGCGUUGCUCGGAAUUACUGGGCGUAAAGCGCACGUAGGCGGCUUUCUAAGUCGGGGGUGAAAUCCUGGAGCUCAACUCCAGAACUGCCUUCGAUACUGGAAAGCUCGAGUCCGGGAGAGGUGAGUGGAACUGCGAGUGUAGAGGUGAAAUUCGUAGAUAUUCGCAAGAACACCAGUGGCGAAGGCGACUUACUGGACAAAUAUUGACGCUGAGGUGCGAAAGCGUGGGGAGCAAACAGG